AUCGCUUCUUCGGCUUAUUAGCUUUCGAACUGUGUCAAUGGUUAAGGCAGAGUCCAUGCAUUAGAUAAAUGGUUCCCUAGUAAGAUCAAAGUGUAGUAUCUGUUCUUAUCGUAUUAACCUACGGUAUACACUCAAAUGAGUGUAAUAAAGGUUAUAUGAUUUUUGGAACCUAGGGAAGUCUCGGGGCUUGCUCCGACUUCCCAAGGGUCGUCCCGGCGUUGCACUGCUGCCAGGCUCGGCCCAGUCCCC
rnacentral:snRNA from 1 species